rnacentral:rRNA from 1 species
UUUUUAUGAGAGUUUGAUCCUGGCUCAGGACGAACGCUGGCGGCGUGCCUAAUACAUGCAAGUCGAACGCUUCUUUUUCCACCGGAGCUUGCUCCACCGGAAAAAGAGGAGUGGCGAACGGGUGAGUAACACGUGGGUAACCUGCCCAUCAGAAGGGGAUAACACUUGGAAACAGGUGCUAAUACCGUAUAACAAUCGAAACCGCAUGGUUUUGAUUUGAAAGGCGCUUUCGGGUGUCGCUGAUGGAUGGACCCGCGGUGCAUUAGCUAGUUGGUGAGGUAACGGCUCACCAAGGCCACGAUGCAUAGCCGACCUGAGAGGGUGAUCGGCCACAUUGGGACUGAGACACGGCCCAAACUCCUACGGGAGGCAGCAGUAGGGAAUCUUCGGCAAUGGACGAAAGUCUGACCGAGCAACGCCGCGUGAGUGAAGAAGGUUUUCGGAUCGUAAAACUCUGUUGUUAGAGAAGAACAAGGAUGAGAGUAACUGUUCAUCCCUUGACGGUAUCUAACCAGAAAGCCACGGCUAACUACGUGCCAGCAGCCGCGGUAAUACGUAGGUGGCAAGCGUUGUCCGGAUUUAUUGGGCGUAAAGCGAGCGCAGGCGGUUUCUUAAGUCUGAUGUGAAAGCCCCCGGCUCAACCGGGGAGGGUCAUUGGAAACUGGGAGACUUGAGUGCAGAAGAGGAGAGUGGAAUUCCAUGUGUAGCGGUGAAAUGCGUAGAUAUAUGGAGGAACACCAGUGGCGAAGGCGGCUCUCUGGUCUGUAACUGACGCUGAGGCUCGAAAGCGUGGGGAGCAAACAGGAUUAGAUACCCUGGUAGUCCACGCCGUAAACGAUGAGUGCUAAGUGUUGGAGGGUUUCCGCCCUUCAGUGCUGCAGCUAACGCAUUAAGCACUCCGCCUGGGGAGUACGACCGCAAGGUUGAAACUCAAAGGAAUUGACGGGGGCCCGCACAAGCGGUGGAGCAUGUGGUUUAAUUCGAAGCAACGCGAAGAACCUUACCAGGUCUUGACAUCCUUUGACCACUCUAGAGAUAGAGCUUCCCCUUCGGGGGCAAAGUGACAGGUGGUGCAUGGUUGUCGUCAGCUCGUGUCGUGAGAUGUUGGGUUAAGUCCCGCAACGAGCGCAACCCUUAUUGUUAGUUGCCAUCAUUCAGUUGGGCACUCUAGCAAGACUGCCGGUGACAAACCGGAGGAAGGUGGGGAUGACGUCAAAUCAUCAUGCCCCUUAUGACCUGGGCUACACACGUGCUACAAUGGGAAGUACAACGAGUCGCGAAGUCGCGAGGCUAAGCUAAUCUCUUAAAGCUUCUCUCAGUUCGGAUUGCAGGCUGCAACUCGCCUGCAUGAAGCCGGAAUCGCUAGUAAUCGCGGAUCAGCACGCCGCGGUGAAUACGUUCCCGGGCCUUGUACACACCGCCCGUCACACCACGAGAGUUUGUAACACCCGAAGUCGGUGAGGUAACCUUUU